GUGUGUGUGUGUGUGUGUGUGUGUGUGUGAUGCACGUGCGACCUCCCGCACACAGCGGCA
rnacentral:miRNA from 1 species